GCAGUGGCGCACGGGUGAGUAACGCGUGGGAACCUACCCUGAGGUUCGGAAUAACGGCUGGAAACGGCCGCUAAUACCGGAUGUGUCCUAUGGGGCAAAGGCUUGCCGCCUUGGGAGGGGCCCGCGUCCGAUUAGCUAGUUGGUGAGGUAACGGCUCACCAAGGCGACGAUGGGUAGGGGGCCUGAGAGGGUGAUCCCCCACACUGGUACUGAGACACGGACCAGACUCC
rnacentral:rRNA from 1 species